rnacentral:lncRNA from 1 species
CUUCUUCCACUGCUGCAACAGAGUGAGCGAGUGGCGGGGAGUAGUCGUGCGCCGGUGCGGUGGAGUGGCGGAGCGUGGCCUCGGGAGCGCCAGCGAGCGGCACGUUGCCCGGCCCGAGGGUUCCCCUCGGCAAGCCCCUUCAGCGGUUGGUGAAACCAAGAGAUGGCACCGCCACCGGUCCCCUCUCCGGUGCGCGCGCUCGCCCUAGGGUGGGCACCCCCGGCCGCCGAUCAUUCUUCUUCCCGGACGGAUCCGGUGAGUUCUCUCUUCUUCUUCCUUCUCUCUUCCCAGAGUGAGUCUGAUCUAGGGUUAGGGUUCUUACUUGCUACCGACGGCCGUCAAUCCAAGAUCCGGUGGCAGUCGUCUUGUGUCUUGUGGCGGAGCGCCGCUGGCGGUCAUCAGUGGAUCCAGUGAACGCUGCUCGUCUAAAAAAAAUUUCUGAAAAAUUUCUAAUUCAUCUCCUUCUAAAUGCUUCUACCCCGACUAGA